rnacentral:rRNA from 1 species
AGCAGUAGCCGCGGUAAUACGUAGGGUGCAAGCGUUAAUCGGAAUUACUGGGCGUAAAGCGUGCGCAGGCGGUUAUAUAAGACAGAUGUGAAAUCCCCGGGCUCAACCUGGGAACUGCAUUUGUGACUGUAUAGCUAGAGUACGGCAGAGGGGGAUGGAAUUCCGCGUGUAGCAGUGAAAUGCGUAGAUAUGCGGAGGAACACCGAUGGCGAAGGCAAUCCCCUGGGCCUGUACUGACGCUCAUGCACGAAAGCGUGGGGAGCAAACAGGAUUAUAUACCCGUGUAGUCCCUGUCUCUUAUAC